rnacentral:rRNA from 1 species
UACGUAGGUGACAAGCGUUGUCCGGAUUUACUGGGCGUAAAGAGCGCGCGGGCGGUCGUUCAAGUCGAGUGUGAAAGCCCCCCGGCUCAACUGGGGAGGGUCAUUCGAUACUGAUCGACUCGAAGGCAGGAGAGGGAAGUGGAAUUCCUGGUGUAGCGGUGAAAUGCGCAGAUAUCAGGAAGAACACCAAUGGCGAAGGCAGCUCUCUGGGACGGUACUGACGCUGAGGUGCGAAAGCGUGGGGAGCAAACAGG